rnacentral:rRNA from 1 species
GACGAACGCUGGCGGCGUGCGUAAUACAUGCAAGUAGAACGCUGAAGGAGGAGCUUGCUUCUCUGGAUGAGUUGCGAACGGGUGAGUAACGCGUAGGUAACCUGCCUGGUAGCGGGGGAUAACUAUUGGAAACGAUAGCUAAUACCGCAUAAUAGUAGAUGUUGCAUGACAUUUGCUUAAAAGGUGCAAUUGCAUCACUACCAGAUGGACCUGCGUUGUAUUAGCUAGUUGGUGGGGUAACGGCUCACCAAGGCGACGAUACAUAGCCGACCUGAGAGGGUGAUCGGCCACACUGGGACUGAGACACGGCCCAGACUCCUACGGGAGGCAGCAGUAGGGAAUCUUCGGCAAUGGACGGAAGUCUGACCGAGCAACGCCGCGUGAGUGAAGAAGGUUUUCGGAUCGUAAAGCUCUGUUGUAAGAGAAGAACGAGUGUGAGAGUGGAAAGUUCACACUGUGACGGUAUCUUACCAGAAAGGGACGGCUAACUACGUGCCAGCAGCCGCGGUAAUACGUAGGUCCCGAGCGUUGUCCGGAUUUAUUGGGCGUAAAGCGAGCGCAGGCGGUUAGAUAAGUCUGAAGUUAAAGGCUGUGGCUUAACCAUAGUACGCUUUGGAAACUGUUUAACUUGAGUGCAAGAGGGGAGAGUGGAAUUCCAUGUGUAGCGGUGAAAUGCGUAGAUAUAUGGAGGAACACCGGUGGCGAAAGCGGCUCUCUGGCUUGUAACUGACGCUGAGGCUCGAAAGCGUGGGGAGCAAACAGG